UACAAUGGUUGGUACAAUGGGUAUCUACCCCGAAAGGGGAUGGAAAUCUCCUAAAGCCAAUCUUAGUCCGGAUUGAGGGCUGCAACUCGCCCUCAUGAAGCUGGAAUCCGUAGUAAUCGCGUUUCAACAGAACGCGGUGAAUACGUCCCUGCUCCUU
rnacentral:rRNA from 1 species